rnacentral:rRNA from 1 species
GACGAACGCUGGCGGCGUGCUUAACACAUGCAAGUCGAGCGGUAAAGGCCCUUUCGGGGGUACACGAGCGGCGAACGGGUGAGUAACACGUGGGUGACCUGCCUCAGCUCUGGGAUAAGCCUGGGAAACCGGGUCUAAUACCGGAUAUGACUCCAUGACGCAUGUUGUGGGGUGGAAAGCCUUGUGCGGCUGAGGAUGGGCCCGCGGCCUAUCAGCUUGUUGGU